rnacentral:rRNA from 1 species
AGUCACUGACAUUAGAUACCCGCGUAGUCCUAGCCGUAAACGAUACUCGCUAGGUGUCGGCCACGGUGUGACCGUUGUCGGUGCCGUAGGGAAGCCGUGAAGCGAGCCACCUGGGAAGUACGGCCGCAAGGCUGAAACUUAAAGGAAUUGGCGGGGAGCACCACAACGGGUGGAGCUUGCGGUUUAAUUGGAUUCAACGCCGGAAGUCUUACCGGGACCGACAGCAACAUGAAGGCCAGGCUGGAGACUUUGCCGGAUUAGCUG